rnacentral:tRNA from 1 species
GGGGAAUUAGCUCAAGUGGUAGAGCGCUCGCUUAGCAUGCCAGAGGCACGGGGAUCAAUGCCCUGAUUCUCCA